GCAAAGCAUCCUCACAAGUGCCGCGGUGUCGCAUCCCAUCGAAACCGUUAGCUGCUACGAACUAUGGAAGGGUGGCCAAAAUAAAGAAAUCUCUGUUCGCUCUGCCUCUCUCUCACUCUCUCAAACACGCACGCACGCGCAUCAUCUCCAAGAAGAAGAAGAAGAAGAAGAGAGCCACCGGGUGAUCCAACUGUUCCAUUUACUCAUCCCACCUGCCACGGCCGUCUUUAAAGUGAAAAUCAAUGGGGUACAUGAUAUUAAAAGCUGUAGCAAAGAAAUAAAGCCAGUGAAAGCAGAGCCAACCUUUGCGUUCUUCGUCUGCUCUGUUUUGACAAAGAUUGCUGAUUAGAGAGUUGAGAUGAUUCAUCUGGCGGUUUUUUGUCGAUGUAUGUAUCAGGUAUUUUUCCCAACAAUCUGAUUGAUUCAUUAGCUUAGUUCCUUGAUCGAUAGUCUUAACAAAUCGAGUGGAUUAUCCACAAGUAUACGCCUAGUUAUGAGGAAAUCAUUGAAUUUGCGUUGAUGCACUUAAUUAUAUUUUGGAUUAUCCGCAUGUACUUUCUCUUUGUCUUACGGUGUAAGUUGUCCUUGAAGAGAAUUACAACUGCGACCGCAGUUUCCACUUGUUUGU